rnacentral:rRNA from 1 species
ACUGUCUUUAUAUUGAAUUUUGAAUUUAACUUUUAAGUGAAAAGGCUUAAAUAUUUUAAGGGGACGAUAAGACCCUAUAAAGCUUUACAUUAAAAUUAUAUUUAAUUGAAUUUGCAGAUUAAAAAUUUAAUAUAAUUAUUUGUUAUGUUGGGGAGAUAAAAGUAAAAUUUAUGUUAACUGCUAUUUUAUGUAACAAAGGUUAGUGAGUUUUAGUGGAUCCAUUUUAAUGAUUAAAAGAGUAAGUUACUUUAGGGAUAACAGCGUUAUUUUUUUUGAGAGUUCUUAUCGAAAAAAGAGUUUGCGACCUCGAUGUUGAAUUAAAUUAUCUAUAUAACGCAGAAGUUAUAUAAGAAGGUCUGUUCGACCUUUAAAUGUUUAC